AGUUAGUUAGUUAGUUAAAGGAACAAUGUGCAUUAGGUAUUUUUUUAAGUGAGAGAGAAAAGUAAAGCUACUUUAAAACUGUUUUUAAAUUUAACUUUAAAGUGCUCAAGUCAGCCAGUCACAGUGGCACUACAUUAGCUACAAAGAAGUAUUAGUAAUCACUUCUACAAAAAUUUCAAGUUGCCAUCUGACAAAAUUAAAUACUACAUUUAUUUUAAAAAACCUGUUUUCCCUUGAAAUUUGAGUAAAUGGAUUCACCUUGUUGAUAUUUAUGGCAACUAUCCUAAAUAUGUACUAGAAGAUAUUGAAUCAUCAUGAAAAGAAGUCGACUUCCAGCCAAACCCAAAAUGUUUAUAUUCUUUUGUAGUUUACAAAGUGUUUAUAGUUUUGUUUUGAUUUUCAACUUUACUACAUUGUGUUGUUGAGAUAAUGUUAUUUGACCUGAGCACUUUGGCUUUGUUUGUUUGUUUGUUUGAGGUUGAAUCCAAGGGUACUUAACCAUUGAACUACAUCCUCAGCCCCUUUUAUUUGUUAUUUUGAGAGAAGGUGUUACUUGCAAUACUCCUGCCUCAGCCUCCUGAGUCACUGGAUUUACAGGCAUGUGCCACUGCGGCUGGCUGACCUGAACACUUUUAAAGUUAACUCUUAUGAUUUUCUGAAUAUUACAAUAAAAAUAUUUUGUGUUGUACCUAAGAAUGUCUCUUCUGCAACUAGUAAGUUUUUGAAACCUUAAUUUGGAUUCAGUGCAAACAGUUCCUUUGGUAACCAAUAGUAUUUAAAGAACAAAACUAGUCAAUAAAAUGCAUUAGUUUUAGCAUAACAGCAAAAAAAAUCAUGGCCAAUGUUUGACCUUAGUUAUGCUAAUUUGGAUACAUGUUUAUUCUCAUCUAAAUGAAAAUAUUAUAGGAAAGAAGAUACUCAAUUACUGUAGUAAGAUCAGAGAAGGAUGGCAGGCAGAGGAAGAAAGAGGAUAACUAUUGCUUAAUUCUUGUGGUUAAUACUUAUUUUGAUAUUCAUCUGUCUCUUUCAAUGUUAAUUUCUUAUAUUCCUAAUGUUUACCUGUAUUCUUAUUGAAAUCUAUUUGGUGAAAAAUUUGUUAUGUAACCAACUGCAUUGUUCUAGGAGCUUUUUGUUUAGUGAUAUAUGAAUAAACUAUUGUUUCUGCCCUUGUAAAGCUUUAGGAAUAAAGAAAUAAAUGCAUUAAUUUAAAUAAUAAAUAAUUAUUGAAUAACAACAUAAAGAGAAAUCAAUGUGUGAUGAAAGCAAGGAAAUAGGUGCUGUAAUAGAAAGAUAUAAACAUGAACUUCUUUGAGUAGGUCAAUUGUUUUAUUCUUUUUGAAUAAGAGACCUUAAAAUUUGAAGGAUAAAAAGGAGCCAGGCCUACACCAAGCCCAUCUGUGAAAUGAAAAAUUUGGGUAGCUCCAGAAGAUGAGAAAUGAAUGCUUGGUCUGGAAACUUGAACCAGAUUUUAGGGUACAGGAUAUAAUGGGAAAAUACAUCUCGUUAACCAUGAGGGUUUAUUUGCAUUUUAUUCUAAAGAAAAAAUGAAACAAUUAAAAAAUUUUGAGUAAAGACUACAUGACCUUCAACAUGUAUCAUAUUGUACAAAUAUUAAAAAUAUAGAGGUAUAGAGGUCAUGGAUAUAGCUCAGGUAGAUUAUUUUCUUAGCAUGAAAAGACCCUGGAUUUGAUCUUCAACACUGCAGUUAGUUGAUAAAUAAAUAUAUAUGUUUAGGACCUAUCCUCUAGAUGCUGAUGUAGUUAAUUUGGGUUGGUGGCUUUACAUCAGUACCUGCAACAACAUUCUCAGUUGAUUCUGGUUAACACCUGAAUUUCAGAACUAUGGACUUAAUUUUUGUCCUCCCAUAACCUCCACAUCUUAUAUAUAAUCUCAUUCUCUAUUUGUUGCCUAUGUUCAAAUUUCAUAAUAUUAAUUUUGAUUCAUUAUUUUCAGUUUUUCGUCACUUAAUUUUCUGGUACAAGAGAAAUAAAAUACUUUGUUUUCUUUCUUCUGUUCUUUCAGAUUUGGAGUCCAGAUGGGCGAUAAAAACAUUUUUGAGGAGGAAAAAAUGGUUCCCAGUGUGAGGUAAUGGAUAGAAGUAAAGUACACGACCUUGAGGACUCCUUUUUCAGAAGUAACUGGGUACAAAGAGCUUUUAUAGGGAUAAAAGGGAGGAACAGGGCAAGAAGGCAAUGUCCUGAGCCAAGUCUUUGUCAUCCUGGGCAUGUCUCCCUUAUUUUCAUGCCCAAUAAUUAAAAAUCUCAAUGAUCCUGAACUUCCUGGGGCUACUUCCUAUAGUUGAUGCAGAGAACUGAAGACUAAAGGCUGGGGGGUGGGGGGUGUCACCAAGGAUAGCAGGUGGAAAUCUGAAGAAAGAUUAGUUAGCAGUUAACAUCUUCACCACAUAGGUGGGGCUUCUCUUUACAACUUAUAAUCACAACAAAAGGGAGGUGGUAUAAACCUUGCAGAAGGAUUAGGGAGUGGGACAAAAAGGGAAAUGGAGGGGACAGAAAAGGAUUGGGGAGGGAGGUGAACAUAAUUCUGCUAAAGACAACUUUCUAAAGGGACUUCUCUGUAAUAGCACCCUUGGAAAUCCUAAGCAUAACAUGCAGUAGUCAGGCCAUACAGGUAUAGUAGUUCAAGGACUUAGAGGUAAAUUAGGAAAAAACUAGACCACAAGAGACAGUAAUAUACAGUCAGCUUUAUUAAGUGGCACUUCACAGAUUCUUGAAAGGGGUGUCCCUCCCAACAGAGAUGGCAGCAUGAGACCACUGCCCAAGGGAAUAGAUAUUAUCUUCUAGGGGAAACAAGGGUAUUAUGCAUGUAGGUGAUGAUGUAGCAAUGAGUAGGGAGUCUCAAGAGUUCUGAAGGGUGUCAGUGGGUGUUUUGUUUGUUUAUAGUUAUAGCAUUUGUCUAAACUAUUGUUAACACAUGUUGGUGCUUCAGGGGUAUGCAAAGUGGAUGGGCUCUAAAUGGCCAAAAAUAUGUUUAUGUGAUGUAUAACUGUAAUGCACCAAUAAAAAAUGUGGAAAAAUGUUUAUGUGGGUAUAAUAAAACAUAUUAAUUUGUGAGAAUUUUUGUUUGCCUCUAGUGGGCUCUGAGCUAAAGGUCCUAGCCUUCUGUGAAGAAGUAAACUGCUUUGGAGCCAGUUUUGCCUAAUAAACAGGAGCCAUCUUUGAUCCAUUUAUACAACAAAAGAUUAAGAAGGCCCCUCAUAUGGCCCUCCAAUCACAGUCUCCCACCCAAAAAUUCAGUUUGGUUUUUUGGCUUCAGAGAAACUUCCUGAAGGCAAUUGGUUUCAAAUUGUUUGCUUUGUCUAUAACAUCAUUUCAUCUACCUCAGGACUAUG
rnacentral:lncRNA from 1 species